GGAUCAUGGUACAGACCAUGGAUCACAGCAGGAGCAGCCAUGAGCUGGAGAUUUGAGGAAAAAAAGGGAAUCAGAGACUGCUUUUGGGUGGAAGAGACCUUCAAGAUCAUCUUGUUCCAACCCCCUGCCGUGGGCAGGGACACCUUCCACUAGACCAGGUUGCUCCAAGCUCCAUCCAGCCUGUCCUGGAACACUUCCAUGGAUGGGAAGGAAUUCUCUUUUAUCCCUCUUCCUUUAGGAGCACAUGGCCUUGCCCAAAUUCUGUCCAGUGGUGCCCAAAACUGCCCACAAAUGGACAGUUUUGUCCAUUUCUGUCCAUUCUGAAGCCUCUCCUAUUCCAGACCAACCAGUGACUUGUGAUUCUGGAAGGUCCUGGAGAUCCCAC